UCGUGAUAUAAAAGUAAAUAAUCGUGCACGGGGAGGCGGGGGAAGGGGUGAAUUCAGCAAUGUUAAAAGCUAAACAACAGAUCUGUCUCCGGACGCUGCUGCUUCACUCAAUUGCAACUAAUAACCCAUUAAAGACAGCGCAGGGGGAACCGAAUUCGCUCCUGCAAAGCGACAUAAAUCCAGCGAAAACCCAUUAAACCACCGCCACCGCCACCAAGCCACGCAGCACUACACACCACAGCAAACAACAGGCCAUGGAUGUGCAGGAUCCCGAUCGUUAGAAGUUUGCGGAUGGGUUGCCUGGAGAUUUGGUUACAAUCAGGUUCAUUUUUUUUUUUUUCCUCCUGAAACAAGUGAAGGCGAUGGUUACUGCUGUCAAUCUUGGCAAUCAAUGUGAGCGGCCAUGUCAAAUUUGCAGACUAGGUUAGACCCCGAAGCACACUCAGCCCCACUGCAAAUGAACCUGGCUUCAGCAAGACGUGAUGAAAAUUGAGCAUUAACGCGAUGGCACGGGACAGAUAUGACCUGGCUCUGUUUCAUUUUGUUAACAAGCUGUAAAACUCGACACACUAUUCGAGUCAUGCACGUUGCAUCCAUCCUCUGCCUUUGCUAUCCGAGGUGCUAUCACCCCUCUCGAGCCGAGUUCAGGGCAUAGGAGUUGUAAGUCAGAAUCUCUUGGAAUAGUGGACCUGUUUUAUAUAAUAUUUUUGUCAAUUCCACUACAAUAGAAGGAAUGACCAAGUCCUAUUCAGCAAGGAGCAAGCACCUUGAAAUAUAACUUUAUAAUUACCUAAUAAAGCUUUAUCAUCAAAUUAGCUGGAUGAGGGUAUAGUAGCUAAUUUUCAUGCAUUCUUUCAAUUUUAAUAAAAGAUACUAAAAAAGUGAAAUUCAGAGAUGAGGGGAAAUUGUAUGAUUGUAAAUACUGAGCUUGUAUUCACCUGCAUCUGGCCAAUUCAAAGUAUUCACCUUGCUGCAGUUACCCGGUGUAUGGAAUUAAAUAGCUGCCUUUUGAGAUACUGCUCUGUCCUUUUUAAUCUUUAAUUAUAAGAAUUCCCGUGAUUGACCACUAACGCUUUCCUUGUAACAUUUGAACCUGCUGCAAUAAAGGAAAUACCUUGA